rnacentral:rRNA from 1 species
UACGAAGGGGGCUAGCGUUGCUCGGAAUUACUGGGCGUAAAGCGCACGUAGGCGGAUGUGCCAGUCAGGGGUGAAAUCCCGGAGCUCAACUCCGGAACUGCCUCUGAUACAGCACGUCUUGAGUUCGAGAGAGGUGGGUGGAAUUCCUAGUGUAGAGGUGAAAUUCGUAGAUAUUAGGAAGAACACCGGUGGCGAAGGCGGCCCACUGGCUCGAUACUGACGCUGAGGUGCGAAAGCGUGGGGAGCAAACAGG